rnacentral:rRNA from 1 species
UACGGAGGGUGCGAGCGUUAAUCGGAAUUACUGGGCGUAAAGGGUGCGUAGGUGGUUUGAUAAGUUAGCUGUGAAAGUCCUGGGCUUAACCUGGGAAGGUCAGCUAAGACUGUUGAACUUAGGGUAUAGGAGAGGGUAGUGGAAUUUCCGGUGUAGCGGUGAAAUGCGUAGAGAUCGGAAGGAACACCAGUGGCGAAGGCGGCUACCUGGCCUAAUACUGACACUGAGGCACGAAAGCGUGGGGAGCAAACAGG